rnacentral:rRNA from 1 species
CCUACGGGUGGCAGCAGUAGGGAAUAUUGCUCAAUGGGGGAAACCCUGAAGCAGCAACGCCGCGUGGAGGAUGAAGGUUUUCGGAUUGUAAACUCCUUUUGUUAGAGAAGAUAAUGACGGUAUCUAACGAAUAAGCACCGGCUAACUCCGUGCCCACAGCCGCGGUAAUACGGAGGGUGCAAGCGUUACUCGGAAUCACUGGUCGUAAAGGGCGCGUAGGCGGGAUAGCAAGUCAGAUGUGAAAUGCUAUGGCUUAACCAUAGAACUGCAUUUGAAACUGUUAUUCUAGAGUAUGGGAGAGGUAGGUGGAAUUCUUGGUGUAGGGGUAAAAUCCGUAGAGAUCAAGAGGAAUACUCAUUGCGAAGGCGACCUGCUAGAACAUAACUGACGCUGAUGCGCGAAAGCGUGGGGAGCAAACAGGAUUAGAUACCCCAGUAGUC